AUGGAGCCGACUGAGAUGGUGGGCUGGUUUCCACAGUUUAAGGUUGACGGCGCUGAAUUUUCCCAGGAGGAUUUUGUGCACUAUGUGAAAGAAACCCGAAUGGCGGCCACUCAACUGUCUGAAGAGCUUGAUUUGACAAAGUACCAAGCCGACUACACGGAGGAGAACAAGUGCAUCAACCCGCCUGAAUUCAAGCCAUUUGUGCUGACUCCUCCACGCCGUAAGCAAACUUUUGCCCCUGACGUCGACCUGUCUGUUAUCAUCACUGGAGACUCAACUUUCCAGGCUUUGUCAACUAUUCAGUGGACACCAAAGGAUCUCCAGACCGGGUAG
rnacentral:rRNA from 1 species